AACGGCGAGUGAAGCGGCAAGAGCUCAAAUUUGAAAUCUGGCCCCCUCCGGGGGUCCGAGUUGUAAUUUGUAGAGGAUGCUUCGGGUGUGGCCGCCGUCUAAGUUCCUUGGAACAGGACGUCAGAGAGGGUGAGAAUCCCGUCUUGGGCGGCCGGUCCGCGCCCGUGUGAAGCUCCUUCGACGAGUCGAGUUGUUUGGGAAUGCAGCUCUAAGCGGGUGGUAAAUUUCAUCUAAAGCUAAAUACUGGUCGGAGACCGAUAGCGCACAAGUAGAGUGAUCGAAAGGUUAAAAGCACCUUGGAAAGGGAGUUAAACAGCACGUGAAAUUGUUGAAAGGGAAGCGCUUGCGGCCAGACUCGGGGGCGGGGUUCAGCGGGCGCUCGUCGCCCGUGCACUCCCCGUCUCCCGGGCCAGCAUCAGUUUCGACGGCCGGUCAAAGGCCCCCGGAAUGUGUCGUCUCUCGGGACGUCUUAUAGCCGGGGGUGCAAUGCGGCCCGUCGGGACUGAGGAACGCGCUCCGGCUCGGAUGCUGGCGUAAUGGCCGUAAGCGGCCCGUCUUGAAACACGGACCAAGGAGUCUAACAUCCACGCGAGUGUUCGGGUGUCAAACCCGUGCGCGCAGUGAAAGCGAACGGAGGUGGGAGCCUUAGGGCGCACCAUCGACCGAUCCUGAAGUCUUCGGAUGGAUUUGAGUAGGAGCGUGGCCGUUGGGACCCGAAAGAUGGUGAACUAUGCCUGAAUAGGGUGAAGCCAGAGGAAACUCUGGUGGAGGCUCGCAGCGGUUCUGACGUGCAAAUCGAUCGUCAAAUUU
rnacentral:rRNA from 1 species